UUAAAGGCGUGGGAGGCGCCCAGGAGAAGCGAGAGACGAGGCGAAGCGCCCCUCUUAGCACCUCCAGAGUUGACUCCUCUGGCCGGCGAGGCCAGAAACCAGGCGGGCUAGAGGCGUCGCCUCUUUAAAACAGGCAGAAUCCCUUUUUUUUUUUAAUUUUUUAAAACAAAUAUAUAAAACCCUAUACACUUACCUAUUGCCGACAAAGAAAAGGAAGACAGUGUCGCCUCCACCUCCAGAGCUGCGAGUCUAGGUAUGUCUGUCUGUCUGUC
rnacentral:misc_RNA from 1 species